UACGAAGGGGGCUAGCGUUGCUCGGAAUCACUGGGCGUAAAGGGUGCGUAGGCGGGUCUUUAAGUCAGGGGUGAAAUCCUGGAGCUCAACUCCAGAACUGCCUUUGAUACUGAGGAUCUUGAGUUCGGGAGAGGUGAGUGGAACUGCGAGUGUAGAGGUGAAAUUCGUAGAUAUUCGCAAGAACACCAGUGGCGAAGGCGGCUCACUGGCCCGAUACUGACGCUGAGGCACGAAAGCUAGGGUAGCAAACGGG
rnacentral:rRNA from 1 species